rnacentral:sRNA from 1 species
CUUGGUCAUUUAGAGGAAGUAAAAGUCGUAACAAGGUUUCCGUAGGUGAACCUGCGGAAGGAUCAUUACCAAAAUUUAGCUGCACUGGUUUAGGCUGGUUGCACGCUUCAACCCUUUGUGAACCAAAAACCCUUUACGCUUCGGCAGCUGGUUCCAGCUGUAAGCCUGCCGAUGGCACCAAUUUAAACCUGACUUUAAAACAUUGUCUGAAUAAACCAUUUUCGAAUGAAAAUUAAAACUUUCAACAACGGAUCUCUUGGUUCUCGCAUCGAUGAAGAACGCAGCGAAACGCGAUAGUUAAUGUGAAUUGCAGAAUUCAGUGAAUCAUCGAAUCUUUGAACGCACAUUGCGCCCCCUGGUAUUCCGGGGGGCAUGCCUGUUCGAGCGUCAUUACAACCCUCAAGCUCUGCUUGGUAUUGGGCUCUGCCGGUCCCGGCAGGCCUUAAAAUCAGUGGCGGUGCCAUUCGGCUUCAAGCGUAGUAAUUCUUCUCGCUUUGGAGACCCGGGUGCGUGCUAGCCAGCAACCCCCAAUUUUUUCAGGUUGACCUCGGAUCAGGUAGGGAUACCCGCUG